rnacentral:rRNA from 1 species
CCCUCUGGCGCGGGACAACAGUCCGAAAGGGCUGCUAAUACCGCAUAAGCUGGUGACCGCCUCGGUGGUUACCAGGAAACGGUGGCCUCUCCUUGGAAGCUAUCGCCGGAGGAUGGACUCGCGUCCCAUCAGCUUGUUGGUGAGGUAAUGGCUCACCAAGGCCCAGACGGGUAGCUGAUCUGAGAGGAUGAUCAGCCACACUGGGACUGAGACACGGCCCGG